ACUCUCAGAUCUUAGAAUUGGGGGGUUCUCUUUUGGGAUCUGGGCCUCUCUGUCUGAUGACUGCGUUCUGGUGCUCGAUUUCUGGCCACCCUGCCUGAAGAAUGGGAGGAAUUCCUGAGCUCUGGCCCCUGGUUUUGGGCAGCGAGGACUCAUCGCCCCCCCCCCCCCCAACAUUCUCAGCCAGGAGUUCUGGGCACCGCAGCUGGUGGCUACCGAGAGUUACCCCCAUCCCAGUAAGUCAGCAGGCUGGACAUGUCUUCCAGCCUUCAACCCUCGCUCCCCAGCCAGUCAUCUCUCCGUUACAGAGAAGGAUGAAGCAUUGCAUCCAGACAAGAAACGCGUAAGAUCCACUAAUGACAGCGCAGAGUUCAGCACCCCAGGCUUGUUCAUUUAUGCUUUAAAAAAUCCAAAAACAACUGUUGGUACCUACUGUGUACCAGAAGGAGCCGUGGCAGCAGAGUGGGUAUGCUUUGGGUUGCUAACUACAAUAUCAGCCGCUCGAACCCACCAGCCGCUCCAAGGGAGGAAGACAGAGCAAUUCAUGACUUGGCGUCUUGUACGUGACUUCUGCGUGGAAAGCCCUGAUUCCGGGGGGGAGGACAGAAGGAAAGGACCUCAUGCCUGGUAUGUGAAAGUUGAACAUUGAAUAAGGAAGACAGAAGAAGAC